UUUUGCUUGCAAACUAAAGAUGGCGACCGGCGCACGGGUGAGUAACACGUAUCCAACCUGCCGAUAACUCGGGGAUAGCCUUUCGAAAGAAAGAUUAAUAUCCGAUAGUAUAUUAAAACCGCAUGGUUUUACUAUUAAAGAAUUUCGGUUAUCGAUGGGGGUGCGUUCCAUUAGUUUGUUGGCGGGGUAACGGCCCACCAAGACUACGAUGGAUAGGGGUUCUGAGAGGAAGGUCCCCCACAUUGGAACUGAGACACGGUCCAA
rnacentral:rRNA from 1 species